GACGAACGCUGGCGGCGUGCUUAACACAUGCAAGUCGAACGGAAAGGCCCUGCUUUUGUGGGGUGCUCGAGUGGCGAACGGGUGAGUAACACGUGAGUAACCUGCCCUUGACUUUGGGAUAACUUCAGGAAACUGGGGUUAAUACCGGAUAGGAGCUCCUGCUGCAUGGUGGGGGUUGGAAAGUUUCGGCGGUUGGGGAUGGACUCGCGGCUUAUCAGCUUGUUGGUGGGGUAGUGGCUUACCAAGGCAUUGACGGGUAGCCGGCCUGAGAGGGUGACCGGCCACAUAGGGACUGAGAUAGGGCCCAGACUCCUACGGGAGGCAGCAGUGGGGAAUAUUGCACAAUGGGCGGAAGCCGGAUGCAGCAACGCCGCGUGCGGGAUGACGGCCUUCGGGUUGUAAACCGCUUUCGCCUGUGACGAAGCGUGAGUGACGGUAAUGGGUAAAGAAGCACCGGCUAACUACGUG
rnacentral:rRNA from 1 species